rnacentral:rRNA from 1 species
CCUACGGGAGGCAGCAGUGAGGAAUAUUGGUCAAUGGACGAGAGUCUGAACCAGCCAAGUAGCGUGAAGGAUGACUGCUCUAUGGGUUGUAAACUUCUUUUAUAAAGGAAUAAAACGAGGCACGUGUUCCUUUUUGCAUGUACUUUAUGAAUAAGGAUCGGCUAACUCCGUGCCAGCAGCCGCGGUAAUACGGAGGAUCCGAGCGUUAUCCGGAUUUAUUGGGUUUAAAGGGAGAGUAGAUGGGUUGUUAAGUCAGUUGUGAAAGUUUGCGGCUCAACCGUAAAAUUGCAAUUUAUACUGGCAAUCUUGAGUACAGUUGAGGUAGGCGGAAUGCGUGGUGUAGCGGUGAAAUGCUUAGAUAUCACGAAGAACCCCGAUUGCGAAGGCAGCUUACUAAACUGUGACUGACAUUGAUGCUCGAAAGUGUGGGUAGCAAACAGGAUUAGAUACCCCUGUAGUC